GAAUAGCUCAGCUGGUAAAACACGAGACUCUUAAUCUCAGGCUCAUGGGUUCAAGCCCUGUGUUAAGCA